UUGACAGAUAUUUAAUAAGAUGGUCGACAUCUAGGAAUUGAAAGGCGACGCUUCUUCCAAACGUUGUAAUCACAUUUGCAAGUCGCUUUGAAGAGCUUAAUUAAGGAUCAUUAAUUGAAGUCAUAACCGUAUUCGCAAGUCACUUUGAAGUGUUCGUCGAACUCCUCUUCGAUCAGCGGGUUGUACUGCACUGUGACCGUGUUCCACAUCAAGUUUUUCUGCAGUGGAAAGAAAUCGAGCGUUGUAAAUCGCGAGGAGAAAAUCACAG
rnacentral:misc_RNA from 1 species